AGGGAAGGCUGGCGGUAGGCCUAACACAUGCAAGUCGAACGGCAGCACAUGUAUAGCUUGCUCUUACGGGUGGCGAGUGGUGGACGGGUGAGGAAUACAUCGGAAUCUAUUUGUGCGUGGGUGAUUACGUAGGGAAACUUACGCUAAUACCGCAUAUGUCCUGCGGGUGAAAGCAGGGGAUCUUCGGUCCGUUUGUUCGUGAAUGAGUGGAUGUCGGAUUAGCUAGUUGGCGGGGUAAAGGCCCACCAAGGCGACGAUCCGUAGCUGGUCUGAGAGGAUGAUCAGCCACACUGGAACUGAGACACGGUCCAGACUCCUACGGGAGCACGCAGUGGGCACACUUGGACAAUGGGCGCAAGCCUGAUCCAGCCAUACCGCGUGGGAGAAGAAGGAAUUCGGGUUGUAAAGCCCUUUUGUUGGGAAAGACAAAAAACAGGUUAAUACCCCGCUGUUCUGACGGUACCCAAAGAAUAAGCACCGGCUAACUUCGUG
rnacentral:rRNA from 1 species